rnacentral:rRNA from 1 species
AUUGAACGCUGGCGGCAGGCCUAACACAUGCAAGUCGAACGAGUGGCGGACGGGUGAGUGAUGUCGGGGAAACUGCCUGAUGGAGGGGGAUAACUACUGGAAACGGUAGCUAAUACCGCAUACCAUCAGAUGUGCCCAGAUGGGAUUAGCUAGUAGGUGUGGUAACGGCUCACCUAGGAGACGAUCCCUAGCUGGUCUGAGAGGAUGACCAGCCACACGGGAAUGGAGACACGGUCCAGACUCCUACGGUAGGCAGCAGGGGGGAAUAUUGCACAAUGGGCGCAAGCCUGAUGCAGCCAUGCCGCGUGUAUGAAGAAGGCCUUCGGGUUGUAAAGUACGUUCAGCGGGGAGGCGUUACCUGCAGAAGAAGCACCGGCUAAGUCCGUGCCAGCAGCCGCGGUAAUUC